CCUACGGGUGGCAGCAGUAGGGAAUAUUGCGCAAUGGGCGAAAGCCUGACGCAGCGACGCCGCGUGAGUGAUGAAGGACUUCGGUUCGUAAAGCUCUGUUGUACGGGAUAAUGUACCGUGCGAGUAAGGAUCGGCUAACUUCGUGCCAGCAGCCGCGGUAAGACGAGGGAUCCUAGCGUUGCCCGGAAUUAUUGGGCGUAAAGCGGGUGUAGGUGGCUUGGUAAGUCGGGUGUGAAAGCCCAGGGCUCAACCCUGGAAGUGCAUUCGAUACUGCUGGGCUUGAGUGCGAGAGAGGUUAUUAGAAUACCUGGUGUAGUGGUGAAAUACGUAGAUAUCAGGUGGAACACCGGAGGCGAAGGCGGAUAACUGCCGACACUGACACUGAGACCCGAAAGCGUGGGGAUCAAACAGGAUUAGAUACCCUGGUAGUC
rnacentral:rRNA from 1 species